AAUCAACGCUGGCGGCGUGCCUAACACAUGCAAGUCGCACGAGAAAGGGGCUUCGGCCCUGAGUAAAGUGGCGCACGGGUGAGUAACACGUGAAUUAUCUACCUCCGAGUGGGGAAUAACCUAGAGAAAUCUGGGCUAAUACCGCAUAACACUUACGAGUCAAAGCAGCAAUGCGCUUGGAGAGGAGUUCGCGGCAGAUUAGUUAGUUGGCGGGGUAAUGGCCCACCAAGACGAUGAUCUGUAUCCGGCCUGAGAGGGCGCACGGACACACUGGAACUGAAACACGGUCCAGACUCCUACGGGAGGCAGCAGUGGGGAAUUUUGCGCAAUGGGGGAAACCCUGACGCAGCAACGCCGCGUGGAGGAUGAAGUAUCUCGGUACGUAAACUCCUUUCGAUGGGGAAGAUGAUGACGGUACCCAUAGAAGAAGCCCCGGCUAACUUCGUGCCAGCAGCCGCGGUAAUACGAGGGGGGCAAGCGUUGUUCGGAUUUAUUGGGCGUAAAGGGUGCGUAGGCGGUUUGGCAAGUCUUGUGUGAAAUCUAUGGGCUCAACCCAUAGCCUGCACGAGAAACUACCGGGCUUGAGUGAUGGAGAGGUGAGUGGAAUCUCCGGUGUAGCGGUGAAAUGCGUAGAUAUCGGAAGGAACACCUGUGGCGAAAGCGGCUCACUGGACAUUAACUGACGCUGAUGCACGAAAGCUAGGGGAGCAAACAGGAUUAGAUACCCUGGUAGUCCUAGCCCUAAACGAUGAUCGCUUGGUGUGGCAGGUACCCAAUCCUGCCGUGCCGAAGCUAACGCGAUAAGCGAUCCGCCUGGGGAGUACGGUCGCAAGACUG
rnacentral:rRNA from 1 species